rnacentral:misc_RNA from 2 species
AUAUAUAUCAACCCUCUCUCUUGUAGUGAGUGGUUUGGAUGUGGGGGUUUUGCUGGCCUCUUUGAAAAAAGGGCUCAGCUCUCCUGAAAUGCAUUAGCAGAACAAACCUGUUCAUUGGUGUGAUAACUAUCUGCGCCAUUGAAUGUGAGGGGCAGUUCAGCUUUCUAACAGUCCUUCGUUGGACAAUUCAUCAUUA